GGCGAGCGAGGAGGAGAGCCCAGCACCGAAUCCUUCACCAUCUCGGUGACAGGAAAUGUGGUGUUUAGGCCGUACCUUGUCCCGACACGUCUCUCCUCAAGUCCACUUGAUUGUGGCCCCAGGCCCAGAGAGGGUGUAAGGCCCGUGGAGGCGAGACGUUCGGUACCUGGUGCGUCCUUAGAGUCGGGUUGUUUGGGAAUGCAGCCCUAAGCGGGUGGUAAACUCCAUCCAAGGCUAAAUACCAGCACGAGUCCGAUAGCGAAGAAGUACCGCGAGGGAAGGUUGAAAAGAACUUUGAAGAGAGAGUUCAAGAGUACGUGAAACCGCUGAGAGGCAAACUGGUGGAACUGAAAUGGUCCCGAGGAAUUCAGCCGUUGGUCGUUGCACAGUCUUUGGUGAUUGAUCUAACGACGGCGCCAUUGAAUGACGUUUCGAUCAUCGGUGCACUUUCCUCGCCUGGGCCCGACCACGACCGGUGAGCUGAUCUGUCUGUCGUGCUUGGAAGAUAGCGCCGUCUUCGGAAGGCGUGUUAUAGACAGGCAUACGGAGCAGUCGGCGCACUGGAUGAUAGUGCCUGCCCAUCUGGGCUCAUAUGGUGGUUGUUUUGUUGGCGAGUUCUGAUGUCACUACUUCGGUAGAGUCGUUAGACUCUGUUGGCAUUAUGGCUGUCCUCUAUGAUUGGCACUGUUAAGUCUGUGGUUGUGAAGUAGGUAGUCCACCUGACCCGUCUUGAAACACGGACCAAGGAGUCUAACAUGUGCGCGAGUCAUUGGGUUCACGAAACCUAAAGGCGCAGUGAAGGUAAAGAUCUGUUUUGGCAGAUUGAGGUGGGAUGCCGGGUUACGCGCCCGGCCGCACUACCGGCCCGUUCUAUAUGUCUUUCAUAGGAGCGGAGCAAGAGCGUACACGUUGGGACCCGAAAGAUGGUGAACUAUGCUUGCGCAGGUCGAAGCCAGAGAA
rnacentral:rRNA from 1 species